rnacentral:rRNA from 1 species
ACUCCUACGGGAGGCAGCAGUGGGGAAUAUUGCACAAUGGGCGCAAGCCUGAUGCAGCCAUGCCGCGUGUAUGAAGAAGGCCUUCGGGUUGUAAAGUACUUUCAGCAGUGAGGAAGGUGGAUAUGUUAAUAGCAUAUUCAUUUGACGUUAGCUGCAGAAGAAGCACCGGCUAACUCCGUGCCAGCAGCCGCGGUAAUACGGAGGGUGCGAGCGUUAAUCGGAAUUACUGGGCGUAAAGCGCAUGCAGGUGGUUUGUUAAGUCAGAUGUGAAAGCCCGGGGCUCAACCUCGGAAUUGCAUUUGAAACUGGCAAACUAGAGUACUGUAGAGGGGGGUAGAAUUUCAGGUGUAGCGGUGAAAUGCGUAGAGAUCUGAAGGAAUACCGGUGGCGAAGGCGGCCCCCUGGACAGAUACUGACACUCAGAUGCGAAAGCUGGGGAGCAAACAGGAUUAGAUCCCCUGGUAGGCUCUGC